CCUACGGGUGGCUGCAGUGAGGAAUAUUGGUCAAUGGGCUUACGCCUGAACCAGCCAAGUCGCGUGAGGGAAGACUGCCCUAUGGGUUGUAAACCUCUUUUGUCAGGGAGCAACGCCGGCUACGUGUAGCCGGACUGAGAGUACCUGAAGAAAAAGCAUCGGCUAACUCCGUGCCAGCAGCCGCGGUAAUACGUAGGUGGCAAGCGUUAUCCGGAUUUAUUGGGUGUAAAGGGCGGGUAGGCGGGAAAGCAAGUCAGGUGUGAAAACUCAGGGCUCAAGCCUGAGCCUGCAUUUGAAACUGGUUGUCUUGAGUGCUGGAGAGGCAAUCGGAAUUCCGGGUGUAGCGGUGAAAUGCGUAGAUAUACGGAGGAACACCAGUGGCGAAGGCGGAUUGCUGGAGAGUAACUGACGCUGAGGCGCGAAAGCGUGGGGAGCAAACAGGAGUAGAUACCCCUGUAGUC
rnacentral:rRNA from 1 species